CACGCCCUAAACGAUGUCAACUGGUUGUUGGACGGCUUGCUGUAGAGUAAAAUCUAUGAGUAGCGCAGCUAACGCGUGAAGUUGACCGCCUGGGGAGUACGAUCGCAAGAUUAAAACUCAAAUGAAUUGACGGGGGCCCGCACAAGCGGUGGAUUAUGUGGAUUAAUUCGAUGCAACGCGAAAAACCUUACCUGGCCUUGACAUGUACGGAACUUUCCAGAGAUGGAUUGGUGCUCGAAAGAGAACCGUAACACAG
rnacentral:rRNA from 1 species